CUACGGGGCGCUCCAGUGAGGAAUAUUGCACAAUGGGGGGAACCCUGAUGCAGCAACGCCGCGUGGAGGAUGACGCAUUUCGGUGUGUAAACUCCUUUUAUAUGUCAAGAAAAUGACGGUAGCAUAUGAAUAAGCACCGGCUAACUCCGUGCCAGCAGUCGCGGUAAUACGGAGGGUGCAAGCGUUACUCGGAAUCACUGGGCGUAAAGGACGCGUAGGCGGGUUGGAAAGUCAGGUGUGAAAUCCUACAGCUUAACUGUAGAACUGCACUUGAAACUUCUAAUCUAGAGUAUGGGAGGGGGAGAUGGAAUUAGUUGUGUAGGGGUAAAAUCCGUAGAUAUCACUAGGAAUACCUAAAGCGAAGGCGAUCUCCUGGAACAUUACUGACGCUAAGGCGUGAAAGCGUGGGGAGCAAACAGGAUUAGAUACCCCAGUAGUC
rnacentral:rRNA from 1 species